rnacentral:rRNA from 1 species
AGAGUUUGAUCCUGGCUCAGAUUGAACGCUGGCGGCGUGCUUUACACAUGCAAGUCGAGCGGCAGCAUGACCUUCGGGUUGAUGGCGAGCGGCGAACGGGUGAGUAAUACAUCGGAACGUACCUUUUAGUGGGGGAUAACGCAUCGAAAGAUGUGCUAAUACCGCAUAAUCUCUGAGGAGGAAAGGCGGGGAUCACGUAAGUGACCUGUCGCUGAAAGAGCGGCCGAUGGUCGAUUAGCUAGUUGGCGGGGUAAAAGCCCACCAAGGCGAUGAUCGAUAGCGGGUCUGAGAGGACGAUCCGUCACACUGGGACUGAGACACGGCCCAGACUCCUACGGGAGGCAGCAGUGGGGAAUUUUGGACAAUGGGGGAAACCCUGAUCCAGCAACGCCGCGUGAAUGAAGAAGGCCUUAGGGUUGUAAAGUUCUUUUGUCAGGGAAGAAAGUUUCUGUGCUAAUAUCAUAGAACGAUGACGGUACCUGAAGAAUAAGCACCGGCUAACUACGUGCCAGCAGCCGCGGUAAUACGUAGGGUGCAAGCGUUAAUCGGAAUUACUGGGCGUAAAGCGUGCGCAGGCGGAUAUGUAAGUUAGAAGUGAAAUCCCCGGGCUCAACCUGNGAACUGCUUUUAAGACUGCGUAUCUAGAGUUUGUCA